UACAGAGGUCUCAAGCGUUGUUCGGAUUCAUUGGGCGUAAAGGGUGCGUAGGCGGCGCGGUAAGUCGGGUGUGAAAUCUCGGAGCUUAACUCCGAAACUGCAUUCGAUACUGCCGUGCUUGAGGACUGGAGAGGAGACUGGAAUUUACGGUGUAGCGGUGAAAUGCGUAGAGAUCGUAAGGAAGGCCAGUGGCGAAGGCGAGUCUCUGGACAGUAACUGACGCUGAGGCACGAAGGCCAGGGGAGCAAACGGG
rnacentral:rRNA from 1 species